CCUACGUGUGGCAGCAGUGGGGAAUAUUGCGCAAUGGGCGAAAGCCUGACGCAGCGACGCCGCGUGAGGGAUGAAGGUCUUCGGAUCGUAAACCUCUGUCAGCAGGGAAGAACGGUCCCUGUUCUAAUCACCAGUGAAUUGACGGUACCUGCAAAGGAAGCACCGGCUAACUCCGUGCCAGCAGCCGCGGUAAUACGGAGGGUGCGAGCGUUAAUCGGAAUUACUGGGCGUAAAGCGCACGUAGGCGGUAUGUCAAGUCAAGGGUGAAAUCCCCGCGCUCAACGUGGGAACUGCCUUUGAUACUGGCAAACUGGAGUGUGUGAGAGGGUAGUGGAAUUCCAGGUGUAGGAGUGAAAUCCGUAGAUAUCUGGAGGAACAUCAGUGGCGAAGGCGACUAUCUGGAACAUAACUGACGCUGAGGAGCGAAAGCGUGGGUAGCAAACAGGAUUAGAUACCCUGGUAGUC
rnacentral:rRNA from 1 species